GAUGAACGCUGGCGGCGUGCUUAACACAUGCAAGUCGAACGGAAAGGCCCAAGCUUGCUUGGGUACUCGAGUGGCGAACGGGUGAGUAACACGUGGGUGAUCUGCCCUGCACUUCGGGAUAAGCCUGGGAAACUGGGUCUAAUACCGGAUAGGACCACAUUUUGGAUGGUGUGGUGGAGAGUUUUUCGGUGUGGGAUGAGCUCGCGGCCUAUCAGCUUGUUGGUGGGGUAAUGGCCUACCAAGGCGUCGACGGGUAGCCGGCCUGAGAGGGUGUACGGCCACAUUGGGACUGAGAUACGGCCCAGACUCCUACGGGAGGCAGCAGUGGGGAAUAUUGCACAAUGGGCGCAAGCCUGAUGCAGCGACGCCGCGUGGGGGAGGACGGCCUUCGGGUUGUAAACUCCUUUCGCUAGGGACGAAGCGUUAUGUGACGGUACCUGGAGAAGAAGCACCGGCUAACUACGUG
rnacentral:rRNA from 1 species